UCGUGGUGGAGGAAGGUCGUGUGUGCGUGGUCCUCAACCUCCUCGACGCUGGACUUUGCGUUGCGAGUUACAAGUUUUAAUUAUUCUUUGAUAAUACUCUGACUUAGUGUGUAGUGUCGUGAAGUAUUUCUUGUCGGAUUUAUAUAUCUUACAUAUUACUGUGUAAAUUUUCAGUGUGUGAAGUGGUGAUAAAACUUAAAAUAUAAUGUUUUGUAAUACGAUGAAGUGUACAUAGCAACGAGUGACAGUCGAAACUUUUUGUGGAAAACGUCAGCUUCUGCCAAGAUUCCAGUGUCGGACACCAGAACAACAACAAAGGCGGUAAUAGCAGCCUGAAUGGUUUUCUGUCCUGUCACGGGUCGUCACAGUCUUACUGUAACAAAAUCUGGCCUAAUCUGACAGUCACAAGCUUCCUGUCACAACCUCUGGUCUGUCUCGGAACGUCACAACCCGUGGCUCAUCACAACUCCGGGGUAUUACAACACAACACCUGGACAGCUGCUCUUCCUAUCGAUGCCUCAUAAUGUCCUCGGUAACUGUGUGUCAUGAGUGUGUCAUAGACGGUCAUAUGGCAACUGAAAGUGGGUUUAAUAUGGCAGCCAAUAUGAGUGUAGCUAUGACAGAACAUUGUGGUACAGUUAAGUACAAGAUAAAUACAGAGACCCACGUAAACACAGACGCUGCUGGUGGCGAGAUAAACAGUGGCGUGGGGGAUUACAGCGGUUACUACUCAGGACAACAGACAUAUACAGUGCAGGAAAACUUAUGUAGCGUAGAAGGAAAUUCAGGUAUUGACAUUUUAAGUAGUGAAGUAGGAAAAUCAGAUCAGCAGUUAGGGUAUAAAAGUAAUGUAGACGAAAUGAGAGGUAACGGAGCUAAAAGCACACCUUACACUACCUUGGGCAGAGGAGCUGGGGAGCAUCGAGGAGUGAGACAGCCAGGUGGAACAGUGGAGGAGGAGGAGGAAGAGGCUGUCAACCACACCAGGGUGACAAGACCUCAAGCACCACCAUCCAUCAUCACCCGUGUAGGAAAUUUUACGAGCGAGAGUUCAGUGACACUCCACUCUCCUGGGUCUGCUGCUCUCCUCUCCAUCACUCGAGAUCCAUCAACGUCUCAGAAUGACCCAAACCCGACGAUAUUCAGAAAUCGACGCAGUUCAUUGACACUGACGACUGAUUCAAAUUCAACGAGGUUUCUGUGUCCUCCCGGUGCUGCGGCAACUGCCACUAGCAGCCUGUCAUCUCGUUAUGGGUUUGCUGAUAUAGAAGCGACCUCCACCAACCAUUUGAUGUCACUUUCUUAUGAUCGAGCUGCGUCUUCCGCUGUGGGUGGUGUCGACGCCCCAUUAUCCGGAAAUUCUGUCUCAGGUCUCGUACCACCAACCUUAGGAACGAUCCUGACCUCAGCUGGUAGCAGGCCAGGAGCUGGAGGCCAGGUUUCAGCACGGGUUGGCCUCAUACCACCACCAGGAGGCCAAGGAUCAACCUCAGUUGGUCUCAUACCACCAGCUGGUCGACCGAUUUCCUGGGCAGGUGGUCGCGGGGGAAAGAUGGUGAGCCGCCUGCUGGAGGUGGCCGUGUUGCUGCUCACACUGCUUCUGGCUACACCCGUCGCUGGUGUUAAAUCAAGGGAGUUGUUGAAGCCAGAGACAUCAUCAGGGCGCUACGACCGCGGGGGCCCACAGCACAGCAUCACCUGGGGUCGAGGCAACAGCCACAGCUCAGCAGUGUUCGGCAACGUACUCACCAACGUGACGGCCGUGCUGGGUCACCGCGCCCGCCUCCCCUGCCAGGUCAAGAACCUCGGCCACAAGGACGUGUCAUGGAUCAGGCAACGUGACCUCCACAUCCUGACUGUCGGCAUCUUCACCUACACCAGCGACGACAGGUUCAAGGUGUUCCACCCCCCGGAGGCCGAGGACUGGUUCCUGGACAUUAGCUCCGUGACCUUCAGGGACGCCGGAGUUUACGAGUGUCAGGUCUCCACCAGCCCCAAAGUCUCCCUGCCCAUCCACCUCACCGUCCUGGCUGUACAGGAGGCGGACAUCCUGGGGCCGCGGGAGGUGUACAUCCAGCAUGGCUCCACCAUCAGCCUCCACUGUGAGGUUCAGGCCGGGGUGGAGGCGGUGGGUCCCGUGCGAUGGCUCCGGGGCGCCGCCACCCUCAACUACAGCUCCCCAAGAGGCGGCAUCAGUAUGGAGGUGGAGAAGACGCCCACCAAGACUAUGUCGAAGCUGUACAUCACGCGUGCGGUGCGGGCGGAUUCCGGCAACUACACCUGCGCCCCCACCUUCGCCCGCCCAGACUCAGUUAUCGUCCACGUCGUUAAUGCUGGAGAAGAGUCGGCGGCGGCGGUGCAGAGCAGCGUGGAAGCAGUGCGGGCGUGCAUGGGCGUGGUGUGGGCGGCGACCCUGUUGGCUGCUUGGCUCAGGCCCGCUCACUCUCUCACCUGGCGUCCGUGAGUCAUGCAGGCGGUGUUGAGCGUGUACAGCUUGGUGUUCCCUUCCUGUCCCCCCACCCACAGCCCGCCCGAACUGCUUGAGGCCCCACCACCACCAAUGUAGUGUGCCUUAUAUUUUUGUAGGUGUUUCCCCAAGUAUCUGUGUAAUAAACUAUAUAUUUCGA